CUCUCUUUUUACUGUUCUUCUUUUCUCUCUCUCUCUCUCAUCCACCCAUUUUUCUCUUCCACCCUCGGCUCCAGCCUCGCAGACUCGCAGUAUUCACUUUCGUCACCCCGAAAGUCGGUGGAGUCGCCGUCUACGGCGGUAGGGGGAAAAUACAAUUUUUAAAUUUCGGCAGAAUAAAUCCGGAUCGAAUUGGAUUGAUGUUUGGGUUCGGUCCGUCAGAUCGUCGUUCGGGCCCGUCAGGGUCCGACCGCUGCUCACCCAUAUGCGGAGGGAGUGGUGUUGGCCUCAGUGGUGUAAAUAGAAGAAUAAGAACGUCCGCCGAUUGUUCGACAGAAUAUCUCAAUGAAAAAUAUGACGUUUUGAGUAUUGAUAUAUCAAGUUAUAUGAUUUUGUUAUAUUAAGUAUUGUUUUGUUAUCGAUAUUCAAAUUUAACAUUUAAAAUAACUCCAUUUCCUGUAAUUAAAUGUGAUUUAAUUGAGUUUGUAUUAUAUUUGUUCUUAAA